rnacentral:tRNA from 1 species
GGGAUGUGGCGGAAUCGGCAGACGCAACGGACUUAAAAUCCGUUGGUGGAAACACCGUACGGGUUCAAGUCCCGUCAUCCCC